UCCAGUUUUCAUGCAUUAUAAAUAUUAUCCAGCUUUAUCUUGCAAAAAAAAAUUAAUUAAUUAAACUUCACUGAUUAUUUUGUGUUUUUACCAGAAACUGCAGAAAGACCUUCAACCACAGCAGCAACAUCCAAACAAAUCAGGAUAUCAGUUGCCACGGCGACUGGCAUCUCAAUAGUCGUGUUUCUAAUUCUGCUUUACCAAUGGAGGACGAGAGCCAAUGCUGCAGACACGAGAACAUCAGACACAGACGUAACAUGAAGGUUGCAGACUCUGGUUAAGUUUAACUUUUACCAGAAUUAGUCAAAACAGAGAUUCUGACAUCCAGAUAGUAACAAAAAAAAAGAUACAAAAUGAAUCUGCAGUGUUGCAUUAGAAGACAUUUGUUCUCUUUUAUUUCAGGUGACGUCUGAAAACUGGGCACUAGGAUCCAGAUCUGAAGACUCCCACUACCAAAACCUUGAUCCAGCCAGUAUAGAUCAGGAACCAACUUAUUUAACUCUCACUUAGGACGCUAACCCUAGCUUGAAGUCUGAAAAACUUGUGUUUUUCAGACUUCAGAGUGCAAAACUCCGUCGAAUAAACUGGUGCUGGAUUUCCUUAAGUCUCAAUGCGACUGAUGAAAACCAAGCUAACAUUAAGAAAAUGCAGAGCUGGUGGAAAUAACGAGCAAAACGCUUUUAUUCAGUUUUGUGUUUAUAAACCCUUAGAGAUUGUAUGUGCUCCCUCACCAAACACAGAGAAAUGAGGAGUAGCAGUUUUCUGUUUUGACCUUUUAGAGUUUUUCAUUUAGCUCUUGAGCCUUGAUUACUACAAAGGGCUAGAAAAGGCCUAUAAAGGUUGCGGUUGUUUAUUACUUUCCAUCAAUGUGCAGGUCAUCAAACAAGAGUGUUGAUCAGGGGGACUGAGAAGUUUUCAUAAAUACCCCUUAAACCUUUUCACAUUUUAAACUGUUUCAGCAACAAGGUUAAGUGCAUUUUUUUUUCCAUUCGUGAUUUUAUGUGACGGCCUGCAUUUGUUUACCGUUCUCUCAUGACGUGUCUUCCUCAAAGACUCAAAUACUUGGGCAAGACAAGUGGGAGUUGGAACCCAGAUUUAUAUUGGUAGAUAUUCUUAAUUUUCUUCCAGUUCACAAUUUUCUACUACCUUGUGUUGGCCAAUCACAUACAAUCCGUUUGAGUUUGUUGUCAAAUGCGAAGGAGGUAAAAGGGUAAGAUUGUUCCCAAGUUUUGAGAAGAAAAAGUGUUCAAAGACUUUCACAACUCGGUGUUGAGGGCAUAGGCGUAGGAAGCGGGGAGGGGGGGCACAGGGGG